UACGGAGGGUGCAGGCGUUGUCCGGAAUCACUGGGCGUAAAGGGCGCGUAGGCGGCUCAUGAAGGCUGUGGUGAAAGUCCGGGGCUCAACCUCGGAUCGGCCGUGGCGACUCGUGGGCUGGAGCACUGUAGAGGCGGGUGGAAUUCCGGGUGUAGCGGUGGAAUGCGUAGAGAUCCGGAAGAACACCAGUGGCGAAGGCGGCCCGCUGAGCAGUGGCUGACGCUGAGGAGCGAAAGCGUGGGGAGCGAACAGG
rnacentral:rRNA from 1 species